rnacentral:rRNA from 1 species
GACGAACGCUGGCGGCGUGCCUAAUACAUGCAAGUAGAACGCUGAAGUGAGGAGCUUGCUCUUCUUGGAUGAGUUGCGAACGGGUGAGUAACGCGUAGGUAACCUGCCUUGUAGCGGGGGAUAACUAUUGGAAACGAUAGCUAAUACCGCAUAACAAUGGAUGACACAUGUCAUUUAUUUGAAAGGGGCAAUUGCUCCACUACAAGAUGGACCUGCGUUGUAUUAGCUAGUAGGUGAGGUAAUGGCUCACCUAGGCGACGAUACAUAGCCGACCUGAGAGGGUGAUCGGCCACACUGGGACUGAGACACGGCCCAGACUCCUACGGGAGGCAGCAGUAGGGAAUCUUCGGCAAUGGGGGCAACCCUGACCGAGCAACGCCGCGUGAGUGAAGAAGGUUUUCGGAUCGUAAAGCUCUGUUGUAAGCCAAGAACGGGUGUGAGAGUGGAAAGUUCACACUGUGACGGUAGCUUACCAGAAAGGGACGGCUAACUACGUG